rnacentral:lncRNA from 1 species
AAGUAAUCGAUUAAAAGACAUGAAAUCGACAAAAAAAUUAAUCGAAUAAGUUAUUUACCAAAUAAAAAUGUAAUUAAUCAAUUAAACUAUAACUAAUUAAUUAAUUUCUAAUUUUAAAUCAAUCAAAAAAAAUAAAAAAAUAAGGGUAUAUACAUAAAUAUGGGUGUGGAUUCUAGAUUGCCUUUUGGGCCCAAACUUU